rnacentral:lncRNA from 1 species
AGGUAACAGUAAAGCAGGAUGAUCUAAGAGCUGCCGUUGCCCAACGCAGCCUUCACACAAAGAAAUGCCCCCUCCCUUUCCUGCACCACCUUGUUUGUAUUUGUAACAUCCAUUUGAUUCUCUCUGUGCACACCCAGUUCCUUAUGCACACUUCAGAAAUACAUCAAAUUCUACAAAUCCGGGUUUUUAUUUCUCACACUUCUUAGGACGCGAUCCGAGCCGCCCUUUGCUGAUCACACCGGCGCUCCUUGAAAGGAAAGAGCUAUCUCCAGCAGUUCCUUACCCAGCUCCUCACGCCUUCCUCCAGCACUGAACUCUGCAGACAGCUCCCUGAAGGUGACACACACUCGCCGAUGCUCGAUGUGCCUGCGGUAAAUGGCGUGCUUCCACUUGUAGCGUGCGUCACCGUACAGCACCACCAGAGACCUCCUGGACAAGGUUCCCAAAGAAGAGCUGUUAAUGAGAUAUGUGAGUGGACCGGGUUUGAAACGCAGAGGGAUCUAAGAAGAAAUGUGCUUGUAAAGCCAAACCUGCUUCUUCCGGCCGGACUGCGAGGGCUUCCAUUCAUCCCGGUCCAUCAGUUCAACCAUCUCUGCUUCCUCCUCCUCACUGACGAACUCCUCUGCCAAAAACACCCCUGGGAAUGGAAAGGCCCAGCCAGCAAAUGGGGUGUGCUCAUUGCCUUCAGCUAAGCCCGUUGAUGGACAGUAAGUGAAAUUAUCAUCCCCCUGUGGAAAUGACAAGAGGUGACAAGGACGUGAGGGGGGAAGCUCUCGUGACGAGCUGUUUCCCUCGAUUUACCCCCACAACCUCCAUGUGGAAACUGCCUGCACGGCUCCUGGAGCUGUGAGGAAUGUUGAGCACGGCCCUUUCCCGCCCUGGCUGCGUUUGUGCCCGUGGCUUUCUACCUAACAGCUCCAGCAUCGCUGCUUCUCUCUCCCUGACAACGUCUCCAUCCCGCAGUGAUGCAGGAGAACGAACAGGUGAUGCUGUGCCGGGGCUGCCAGGCCGGCCGUUGCGCAGCGCCGUGUGCCGCCCCGAGGCGGCGGAUGAGCGCAGCUGCCCCCAGCGGCGCCGUGCCGUCCUGCGGCCCUCGGGGACGCGUGCCCAGGCCGGG